rnacentral:lncRNA from 10 species
UUUAAGGAAGCUUUCCUCUUAAGCUCUCUGUAGCUUAUGGCAAUUUGGUGUGGUGAAGCCAACAGAUCAGGGGACAACUACCAUUGAAAAGAUUGUGCAUUAAACUCACAGAUCCCAAGAGAGGGAACGUGCAUCACACCACAGGGCCACAUGGGGACUCCCCAGGGUCGCUGAGAAGGCGGUGGAAGAGGUCACUGUGGGCAAGAGCCUUUAUUAUGGUUUCCAAGGGAAGCAACGGGAGGUAGGGCAAACAAGCUCAGGAUGGGCUAGUUUAAAUAAUUCCAGGGGCUAUCUGGUAUCUGGUAUGGUGAUAACGGCAGGGGGAUGGUGGUUCAGAGUGUGAGAGCCAGAUAAGGGAGGUGGUUGGGGGUGCAGACUCUGGAUUAGGUGGUUUGCCUUUGAAAAGCACACUUCAGGAGAAGGACUCCUCUUGAUGUGGAGGGUGGUGAUGAGGGAGGCGGGAGGCCAAGACAAGGUGACUCAGGCUGUCCAGAACAAGGCGUCGGGUAUCAUCACAGAGGCAGAUGUUAAAGUAUCAAGUUUAUAGGUGCUACAGACAUGGUUAAACACCACGCCUAUCAGUUCAAAGGACCAUGACAUAUAUUCCUGAGAGGGCUUCAGCAAUGUUAACUGCUAUACAAAUUCACAAUAUGUGUGGUUGUAAGAAGGACAAGUACCCUGCUGGCCUGAGUGCAGCUGGUCCCACGUCCGUGUUUCCUUCUGAAAUUGGAAGGGAGGCAGCCUAUAUCCUCACCAUCGCAUGAUCUGCUUCUGGUCAGUGCACUCCCACUUUGUCAAAGUUGUCUUGGUAACAAUAUUUCACCAUCUCAUGGGCUAACAUUUAAAUGAUUAUUAUUACAUAAUUUCAACAUUUAUUUUAGAUUCUGGGGGUACAUGUGCAGGUUUGUUACAUGGGUAUAUGGCAUGAUGCUGAAGUUUGGGAGUAUAGAUCCUGUCACCCAGGUACUGAGCAAAGUACCCAAUAGUUAGUGUUUCAAUGCAUUCCCCCUCCCUCCUUCCCUGCUGUAGGAAUCCCCAGUAUCUGUUGUUGACAGCUUUACGUCCAUGAGCACCCAGUUAGAACAUGCAGCACUUUUCUGUUUCUGCGUUAGUUAGCUUAGGAUUAAAUAUAUAUAAAUCCC